AAAAGAACUACUAAGCAUAGUAUGGGC
rnacentral:sRNA from 1 species